ACCAUCCCAGUUCGGAUUGCAGGCUGAAACCCGCCUGUAUGAAGUUGGAAUCGCUAGUAAUCGCGGAUCAGCAUGCCGCGGUGAAUACGUUCCCGGGCCUUGUACACACCGCCCGUCACACCAUGAGAGUCGGGAACACCCGAAGUCCGUAGCCUAACCGCAAGGGGGGCGCGGCUGAAGGUGGGUUCGAUAAUUGGGGUGAAGUCGUAACAAGGUAAC
rnacentral:rRNA from 1 species